rnacentral:rRNA from 1 species
CUAUACAUGCAGUCGAACGGUCAUAGUGAUAUGAUAGUGGCGCACGGGUGCGUAACACGUAUGCAACCUACCUUAUAGACGGGGAUAGCCUUUGGAAACGGAGAUUAAUACCCGAUAGUAUAUAUUGAUGGCAUCAUUAGUAUAUUAAAGAUUUAUUGCUAUAAGCUGGGCAUGCGUCCAAUUAGUUAGUUGGUUAGGUAAUGGCUGACCAAGACGAUGAUUGGUAGGGGAACUGAGAGGUUAAUCCCCCACACUGGCACUGAGAUACGGGCCAGACUCCUACGGGAGGCAGCAGUAGGGAAUAUUGGGCAAUGGAGGCAACUCUGACCCAGCCAUGCCGCGUGCAGGAUGAAGGCGUUAUGCGUUGUAAACUGCUUUUAUAUAGGAAGAAACAGACCUUGCGAGGUAAUUUGACGGUACUAUAUGAAUAAGCACCGGCUAACUCCGUGCCAGCAGCCGCGGUAAUACGGAGGGUGCAAGCGUUGUCCGGAUUUAUUGGGUUUAAAGGGUGCGUAGGCGGUUUAUUAAGUCAGUGGUGAAAGACGGUCGCUCAACGAUUGCAGUGCCAUUGAUACUGGUAGACUUGAGUGAGAUUGAGGUAGCUGGAAUGGAUAGUGUAGCGGUGAAAUGCAUAGAUAUUAUCCAGAACACCAAUUGCGUAGGCAAGUUACUAAGUCUCAACUGACGCUGAGGCACGAAAGUGUGGGUAUCAAACAGGAUUAGAUACCCUGGUAGUCCACACUGUAAACGAUGAUAACUAACUGUUGGCUUUUGGGUCAGUGGUACAGAGAAAUCGUUAAGUUAUCCACCUGGGGAGUACGCCGGCAACGGUGAAACUCAAAUGAAUUGACGG